CCUACGGGUGGCAGCAGUGGGGAAUAUUGCACAAUGCUGGGAACCCUGAUCCAGCGACGCCGCGUGAGUGAAGAAGUAUUUCGGUAUGUAAAGCUCUAUCAGCAGGGAAGAAAAUGCCGGUACCUGACUAAGAAGCCCCGGCUAACUACGUGCCAGCAGCCGCGGUAAUACGUAGGGGGCACGCGUUCUCCGGAUUUACUGGGUGUAAAGGGAGCGUAGACGGUGCUGCAAGUCUGAUGUGAAAGAUCGGGGUCCAACCCCGGGACUGCAUUUGAAACUGUUGAACUGGAGUACAGGAGAGGUAAGCGGAAUUCCUAGUGUAGCGGUGAAAUGCGUAGAUAUUAGGAGGAACACCAGUGGCGAAGGCGGCUAACUGGACGGUAACUGACGUUGAGGCUCGAAAGCGUGGGGAGCAAACAGGAUUAGAUACCCGGGUAGUC
rnacentral:rRNA from 1 species